UACGGGGGGGGCAAGCGUUGUUCGGAAUUACUGGGCGUAAAGGGCUCGUAGGCGGCCAACUAAGUCAGACGUGAAAUCCCCAGGCUUAACCUGGGAACUGCGUCUGAUACUGGAUGGCUUGAAUUCGGGAGAGGGAUGCAGAAUUCCAGGUGUAGCGGUGAAAUGCGUAGAGAUGUGGAGGAACACCAGUGGCGAAGGCGGCUUUCUGGUCUGUAACUGACGCUGAGGCGCGAAAGCGUGGGGAGCAAACAGG
rnacentral:rRNA from 1 species